GCAGGCUAUCAGACUGCAGAACUUGUAAAAAUGGAUAUUCUACUGAAUGGAAAUAUUGUAGAGGAGCUAGUAACUAUCGUACACAAAGACAAAGCACACACUUUUGGCAAAACCAUAUGUGAACGUCUAAAGGAUACUCUUCCCAGGCAGUUGUUUGAGAUAGCAAUUCAAGCUGCUAUUGGAAGUAAAAUUGUUGCAAGAGAAACUGUGAAACCCUAUAGGAAAAAUGUUUUGGCAAAAUGUUAUGGUGGUGAUAUUACCCGAAAGAUGAAACUUUUGAAGAGACAAGCAGAAGGAAAAAAACGGAUGAGGAAAAUUGGCAACAUUGAGGUUCCUA
rnacentral:lncRNA from 1 species